UUUUUCCCCUCUUCUCUGUUCUUCCCCGACUGGACUUGGAAAAUGGAUCACAGAAUACUGGGACCGGGAACACAGAUUUCUUUUUAUGGCAAGAAACUCGGCCUCCCAGUGGUCCCGAGCCACAAGCAAGUG
ensembl:processed_transcript predicted gene 10421